rnacentral:rRNA from 1 species
AUUAGCUGGUUGGCGGGGUAACGGCCCACCAAGGCGACGAUCUGUAGCUGGUCUGAGAGGACGAUCAGCCACACCAGAACUGAGACACGGUCCGGACUCCUACGGGAGGCAGCAGUGGGGAAUAUUGGACAAUGGGCGAAAGCCUGAUCCAGCGACGCCGCGUGGGUGAAGAAGGCCUGCGGGUUGUAAAGCCCUUUCGGUAGGGACGAAAGCUCUUGCCUUAACACGGCAGGAGGUUGACUUAACCUACAUAAGAAGCACCGGCUAACUCUGUGCCAGCAGCCGCGGUAAUACAGAGGGUGCGAGCGUUAAUCGGAAUUACUGGGCGUAAAGCGCACGUAGUCGGCUUUGCAAGUCGGGUGUGAAAUCCCCGGGCUCAACCUGGGAACUGCAUCCGAGACUGCAUUGCUAGAGUAUGGGAGAGGGAAGCGGAAUUUCUGGUGUAGCAGUGAAAUGCGUAGAUAUCAGAAGGAACAUCAGUGGCGAAGGCGGCUUCCUGGACCAAUACUGACGAUCAGGUGCGAAAGCGUGGGGGGCAAACAGGAUUAGAUACCCUGGUAGUCCACGCCCU